AUUGAACGCUGGCGGCAGGCCUAACACAUGCAAGUCGAACGAGUGGCGGACGGGUGAGUAAUGUAUGGGAAACUGCCUGAUGGAGGGGGAUCACUACUGGAAACGGUAGAUAAUACCGCAUACCCUCAGUUGUGCCCAGGUGGGAUUAGCUUGUUGGUGGGGUAACGGCUCACCAAGGCGACGAUCCCUAGCUGGUCUGAGAGGAUGACCAGCCACACUGGAACUGAGACACGGUCCAGACUCCUACGGGAGGCAGCGGGGGGGAAUUUUGCACAAUGGGGGCAAGCCUGAUGCGGCCAGGCCGCGUGGAUGAGGAAGGCCUUCGGGUUGUAAAGUACUUUCAGCGGGGAGGCGUUACCCGCAUAAAAAGCACCGGCUAACUCCGUGCCAGCAGCCGCGGUAAUUC
rnacentral:rRNA from 1 species